GUAAUCAGACAUAUCCACAGUCCGUCUGCACUGUUGUGUGCAUAUAGUUGUUUGACUUUGAGAGGGCGGGACUCUUUGGAGAGCGAAAUGAACUAGGCGCGGCCAAAAGGAGCCCCAUCCAUCUAUCACACGUGUAGACAAAGGGGGACUCCACAACACAAAGCUAGAUGUGCCCUCUCAAACUUUUUCCACGACGCACGGCGACGCGCACAGAGCAAAACAUCCCCAGGUGGAUUUUAACACCAGAUUAACCAGCAAAGCGUGUUUCUCCAGUUGGAGGUUAAGGAAAGAAAAAAUAUGUGGAAAUCACUUGGAAGAUGUACAGAGUCACCUAUCAAGCAGCUUUUAAGACGCAGAGGAGGAUUAAGAGACUGUGCAGUUUUCUUUUGGAGAAGGUGAAGACUCAUCUAAUAAGGAUUUAAACUUCAGGAGCAGCAGUGCCAGGCGGGAUGCAUUUUAGGCACACUUGGAAAUCUGAAACUCAUGGAGACACUUUGAGGAAUAUAAAAUAUGUGUAGUGUGUCUCUCCACAAGACAACGUCCCAGCCCAAAGUCACUCACUGGGAUAGCAGGAUAUUGCAUUUAUGAUCCUCCUCGGGCCUCCGCAUGGGAGUGUGGGAGUGGCAAGGUCUGGGAGAUCACGACCUUAAUUCUCUCCAAGACAGACGGUUUAAUUAACACUGGAGGAAUCCUCACUGGCUCCAGACCUCUACAUUGGGAAUGUACAGGGGAAUUGGAUUGCCAGGGAUGUCUACAUUUCCAGUCAGCCUACUGUCCACAAGUCACAGGGACAAUACCACAUGCAGUCAAACCAAUUCGGAAUUUUGCCGGAGCUCAGCCCAAAAGUUACAUUGAACCUGAGAGUGAUGAAUAGGGCGCCCCCCCGUCUACGUAUUCCACAUUGCGAGAAGACCACCUCACAGGGAUUUUCCCCUUCACCAGUUCUUUUAGGCUUACCAGUGUCAGAGGUUCCACACUGUGAGAAGGAUCCAUGCAGUCUGCUGGGCAAAAUGGCGCUGGAGCAAGAGCUGCUUUAUAGGGCAGGUGGCCUAAUUGGACCCUACCAUUACUGGCCAUGUCGUGAGGGAGCUUCAUUCUUUCUUUAGAGUACUUUUUGCUUAAUGUUAAGUUAACUAAGUUACCAUUUUUUUUGGAAUAAGUGUUUUGUUUUGUUUUGAUUGUUAUUUGUAGUUUAAUUUGUAAUGUUUUAUUGUUAGUUUCCCCUGUGUGUCAGAACUGGUCUGAUCAAGCAGUAAAUGGGUUGCAUCUCAUAACCCUUAAAUUGCCUCCUUGAGUCCUACACUUGCCUCCCUUCCUCGCGUCUUAGACCCUCCUACCAAGGAGGCACGGGAGAGAUGCAAGGAAAUCAUGGGAGGAGAGAGGCAACGAGCAAAGGUGUUUUAAAGGGAUGAGGCGCCUUUUCCUCUGCGACACAUGAAUUUGUCAGCUGUAUGGGUUGAAUUAGCAACUCCUUCAGCUGCACAGCUUCCGGGAAGGCUACUCUCGUGUAUCCUCACACAUAACUCCUCGAUGCUUGCUCCUCGGGGCAAAAAUAAGAGCUUUGAGACAGCCUUCACCAAGGAGAGACAGAACAACUUCCGGUUUAGCUGAGGACUGAGGAGUCGAGGAGCUAUCAAAUAAGGGUUAUGUAAUGCAGUCUAUAUGUCCCCUUUGUUUCUUCUUUGUUAUGUCAGUUGUAUGUUGAGUUUGAUGUAUUAAAAUUGACAUUCUGUUUAGCUGACCUAUUUGAUGGGCCCGGCACUUUAUCCUCACUUUGGUUUGUAAACAGUUAUUUUUGAAAUUGUUGGGGUAAAUAAAGCCCUUCCUUUUUUCAAUCUA